UACGUAGGGGGCAAGCGUUGUCCGGAUUAUUGGCGUAAAGAGCGUGUAGGCGGUUUGGUAGGUCCGCUGUGAAAACUCGGAGCUCAACCUCGAGACGCCGGUGGAAACCAUCAGACUAGAGUCCGGAAGAGGAGAGUGGAAUUCCUGGAUGUAGCGGUGAAAUGCGCAGAUAUCAGGAAGAACACCCGUGGCUAAGGCGGCUCUCUAGUACGGUACUGACGCUGAGACGCGAAAGCGUGGGGAGCGAACAGG
rnacentral:rRNA from 1 species